GCUGAACGCCCAUUCCAGCCCUUGUGAUUUCCAACUGGACGCUUUGAAACCUUUUAUGGGCGGUACUCCGAUGUAAAAUCAGUCUGCUUGCUUGGUUGGUGAAACGUCAUAUGGAAAUAAUUUCAGCGGCUAAGCCCCUCCCACCAUAGUUGAGCUGCUCGUCUGCUGUGUUGAUACCGAACAAAAUGGCUGCAGAGGCUUGAUCCUGACCCGAUCUCAGCGCUUUCUCCGGACACUCCGCACUUAUUCCUGGAUAUUUCCACUGUCGUUUUAAAAACAUCUCUGGAUUUCUCCACACGACUUCAGCCAGGCUGCUCACCACAUCGCUCGCUAUCUUUAUUUUUGCACUUUAAUGAAGCAGUUUGCAUCGCAUAAUCUCAUGUCAGUCUACCAGACAGUAGCAGCUUUAAACUGCCCUCUUCUUCGUUUUGCACACGACUGCAGCCAGGCUGCUCACCACAUCGCUCGCUAUCUUUAUUUUUGCACUUUAAUGAAGCAGCUUGCAUCGCAUAAUCUCAUGUCAGUCUACCAGACAGUAGCAGCUUUAAACUGCCCUCUUCUUCGUUUUGCGUUGUAGACGAGAUGCUAUUUCUGAUGACCAAUUUAUGCCACUGUACUUGACAAACUGCCUCGCCGUUUUAAUGUAUUAUUUUCUGUCUUUUCGAGGGUAUUUCGUAGCGUAUAUGUCAUGGAAAUGUCAUCUGCUGUUUUUUCCAGCAUGUAUGCAUCCAUAAUCUCCAUCAGAGCCCAAAGCUCUGAGUCUGCAUAGAAAUUUCCCGACAGUCCUUUUCCUUUUCCCUUUGCAUAUUGAAUUUUGUGUUUAUUUCCGUUCUGCUGCCUUUUUGGGACACUUUCGGAAUUUCAGCUGCUCAUUCAACACAGUGUUAAUUGAGUCUGUCUGUUUUUACGGGUACCCUUUUUUUCCGCAAAAAAGGCCUUUUGUACCGCUGUACAAACAUGCAACACUUUUUUACUGAAAGCCGCCAAAGCUCGACUUGUGAACAAAAAGUUGAGGAUCCUAGCUCUCAGAAGGAAACCACAGAGAGUCUUGACAAGAGGUUGUCCACCUGUGAGAGCUCGAGCUUGAGUUGGCCUGCCCGGACAUUGACACCGACACCACCAGAAUCAGUUCCAUCACCUCCGAGUGUACCCCGGUGUAAACACAUCGGCCCUGGUAGAGAUACAGGCAGCUGAUGAGAGGCAGCAGGAGUGGUUGGAGAGGAUGGAGGACCAUCGUCACCGGCACUUUGAGAUGAUGCUGGAGGAUGCCCAUGAGGCAAGGCAGCAUGAGGCUGAAGUCACUCGGCAACACAUGGAGCAGUCUGCAAGGUUCGAUCAGGCCUUCCUCUGCACACUCAGUCAGCUGGUGCAGGUGUUGAGUAGUCACCGUGACCCUGUGCCACCAUCCAGCCACUAGUGCUUUGCACACAGCGCAAGACUUAACACUUAUUUGACACUUUUUGUUUGCACAAAACUGUUUUUCUGUUGUUGCACAGCACAUUGUAUUUUAAGCAUUUGUUUGACU
rnacentral:lncRNA from 1 species